UUGAAGAUUCUCUGCCUUUGCCCCUCCCCCCCAAAUAAAGAGAUAAAUCUUAAAAAAAAAAAAAAAGAGAGAGAGAGAGAGAGAGAGAAGUGCUGGUGAGGAUGAGGGGAAAAGGGAGGCCUCGUGGUGGGAAGGUAAAUGGGUGCAGCCAGUAAGGAAACCAGUGUGGAGGCUCCUUAACUCAGUUAUUUUCAGAUGAACACUCAUUGCUGCCACCCAGGCUGUGGGAGUAGUCCAGAGGCCUCCCCACUCCAUCUUCCCUGCCACACACAAACCCCUUCCUUCCUCUGAGGGUGACCACUACCCUGAUGUUCCCAUGGCCACCAGAGUCUAUUUCUGGAUACUCUAUUCUGUUUGAUUAGGCUGGUUGCCUAGACCUGAGUCCAUAUGGAAAUGUGGUUAAUAGUAAAGAUGGCCUCACAAAUCACUUAGGAAAAGAGGGAGGUUUAAGUAAAUUUUAUUGGGACAACUAGAUAACCAUUUGGAAAAAGAUAAAAUUACAUCUGUACCUUAAACCAUUCACCAAAAUGCCAAGUGAAUCAGAACUAAAUGUAAAGAAUAAAACGCUAAAAGUGGUGGCUCUUUGAUAUAUUCAAACAUUAUAUUAUAUAUAUAUAUAUAUAUAAAAUAUAUAUAAUCUUAAUAUAUAUAUAUAUAACAUAUAUUUCAGCUUUGUAGCUAGUUUUUGGAUUGGGAUUUUUUUCAUGCUCUGUAUCGUACCCUGUAUUGCUAAAUAUGGGAGAUUUCUCAUCCUGUUUGUGUGUAUGUUCCAAACAUUGUUAAAUUCCUUUUCUACUGAUAUAAUUGCCCCCAUUUCAUUUGUCCAUGGGAGUUGAUCCCUUUUUCAUUCCUUCCCUGUAGAUCAGAGGGGUUGUGGGACGGAAAGUUCAGUAUGCUUGAUGUUUACUCAUGUACUUAGUAGACACCUUUUGCCUCCUUGGUUUCCCUCUGUCUCCACAGAGUAGGUUUUUUUGUGGUUGCUUAUUGAACCCCUCUCUGUCAUGAUGGAGGCUUUUAAAUAAUUGGGAAUUGAAAAUUGUUUUCUCUUCUGAAAUAGUGGAUCAAGAAACUGCUUGGGAACUUUGUGUAUAUGGAUGGGGCUUACCUGCUAUUCAGGUUGGCAUUAGGGUGGCUGGACAGGGAACCAGCCAUUCCAUGGCGAGGAGGGGUAAGGAUGAGCUAGUUUAUGUUACAGUAACAAACACCCCUGAAACUCCCAGUGGCUCAGAACAGCAAUGUUUAUUUCUCACUCAAGCCACAUUUCCAUCCUGGGGCUCUCUGCUUCUCAUGGUCACUCGAGGAUCCAGACUGGUAGGGGUAUACCAUCUGUGAUGGAUCUGGGGUCUCAGGGGCAGGGAAAAGAGAAUCUGGUGAACCACAUACUGGCUCUCAAGACGUACACAUUUCCUUGAUGCUAAAGAAGUCCCAUGGCCAUGCCUGAGUUUAGCAGAGAUGUGUAACCCUUCUCUGGGUGAAGCCCCAUGUUUGGAUGAGCAGUAACACCGUCUAUGACACAGAGGGCUCUUUGGAGAGAAGUGCCUGGAUUGAUGGCCUCGGCAGGGGUGGAUGGAUGCCAGGGAAGGGAAUGAAGGGGUUAAGGAUUUUCCCCCAUCACACAAACAGCUGGAGGCUGCCUUCAGCAGGCAUGGGGCUGCUUCUGGUGACACGUUUGGCAAGGUUAGGAAACCUCUCUCCCUGCUAGGUGAGGGAAAAGAUCAGAUCCUAAACCUGUAUUUUUAAAAAUUAAAAUAUUCUUUUCUGAGUGUGAUUUUAGAAUCAGUGCCCCUUCUCACUACCCUUCCAGAAAAAUCACAGCUUCCGCAGCAAGUCUAUGCCUGGAUGACAACUAACCCAUGAAACUGCAAGAAGAUGCCCCCUCUUCCCAUUCUUGCUGAACCAUGGGUAUUAGGACCAGCCUGUUCCUCUGAGAAUAUAGAAGCAACACCUUUCAUCUAACAACUGUUUCCGUUCUGGAGAAUAAUACAGGCUCUUUCUGGCAGCAUGGCUUCUCUCCAGGGAGAAGGCUUGGUGAGGGUAGAUUGGGACUGGAUUAAAAUCGUCAAGGUCUCCACUCUCUGACCCAGCACCUGUACUUCCAGGAACAGUUCCUACAGCGACUUUCACGGGGCAGAGGUGAGUGAGGCUGCGCGCCGUGGCACCGCGGCCCCCCCCCGAUGCCAUUGUCAAGAGUGAGGGGCGCCUGUGUGCUGGGCAUAUCACAUGUGCAAGAUAGGCUGCGAGUGAAGAGCCCGAAUAGAAUGUUCACAUUUUUGUAAAAAAGUGGGUAUGUAAACAGAAGGAAAUAUAUCAAAUGUUCACCAAAGUGCUAGCAGUGGUGAUUCCAGAGAAGUGGGGAUAGAACGUGCUUGCACCUUAUAUAUGUACACACACACACACCUUUUUAAAUGAGCAUAUAUUAGUCUAAUUAGCAGAAAAAUACAAAUAAAAACGAAUCAUGAUUAGUAAAGCCUUUCAUAAUCACUUUAAAAUUUCU